rnacentral:rRNA from 1 species
UACGUAGGGGGCAAGCGUUGUCCGGAAUUAUUGGGCGUAAAGCGCGUGUAGGCUGUUUGAUAAGUCCGCUGUAAAAGCCGAGGGCUCAACCCUCGAACGCCGGUGGAUACUGUCAGACUAGAGUGCGGAAGAGGCGAGUGGAAUUCCUGGUGUAGCGGUGAAAUGCGCAGAUAUCAGGAGGAACACCAAUUGCGAAGGCAGCUCGCUGGGACGUUACUGACGCUGAGACGCGAAAGCGUGGGGAGCGAACAGG